UCAGCAUUGUGUAGAAUGGAUUGUGACAGUAGAAGCUGAAUGAAAAGCACUGGAGGAAGCUGCUGCCCAAUGCAGUGAGCAAAAGUCAGUCUGCUUUGAAUUGUAGACAGGAGCGGCUUUGAAUGAAGUUUUAAUUAUCUGUUUCCUAGGCAACAAGCAGAGCAUCAAUGAUGUUGUUAAUCAGGUGAUAUGAAACCAUUUUGUCAUCUGUUUCAAAAGCUGGGACAAAGACCAUU